CUACGGAGGGUGCGAGCGUUAAUCGGAAUUACUGGGCGUAAAGGGUGCGUAGGCGGCUUGAUAAGUCGGAUGUGAAAGCCCCGGGCUUAACCUGGGAAUUGCAUUCGAUACUGUCAGGCUAGAGUAUGUCAGAGGUUGGCGGAAUUCCUGGUGUAGCGGUGAAAUGCGUAGAUAUCAGGAGGAACACCAGUGGCGAAGGCGGCUAACUGGGGCAAUACUGACGCUGAGGCACGAAAGCGUGGGGAGCAAACAGGAUUAGAAACCCUAGUAGUCC
rnacentral:rRNA from 1 species